CAAAGGCUUGGUCCUGACUUUAUUAUCAAUUUUAGCUAGACUUACACAUGCAAGCAUCCGCAUCCCCGUGAGAAUGCCCUGUAGUUCCCUGCUCGGGAACAAGGAGCUGGUAUCAGGCACAAAACACUAGCCCAUGACACCUUGCUUAGCCACGCCCUCAAGGGAAUUCAGCAGUGAUAGACAUUAAGCCAUGAGUGAAAACUUGACUUAGUUAAAGCUAAGAGGGCCGGUAAAUCUCGUGCCAGCCACCGCGGUUAUACGAGAGGCCCAAGUUGAUAACCACCGGCGUAAAGAGUGGUUAGGGCAGACUAUUAAACUAAAGCCGAACAUCUUCAAAGCUGUUAUACGCAUACGAAGAACAGAAACACAACCACGAAAGUGGCUUUACUUCACCUGACCCCACGAGAGCUAUGACACAAACUGGGAUUAGAUACCCCACUAUG
rnacentral:rRNA from 1 species